AGCAGCCGCGGUAAUUCCAGCUCCAAUAGCGUAUAUUAAAGUUGUUGCAGUUAAAAAGCUCGUAGUUGAAUUUCGGGAUCAGUACGCCGGUCGUGCCUUCGGUAUGCACUGGUGUCACUGGCUUCUCCCUUCUGAAGAACCAUCAUGCCAUUCAGUUGGUGUGGCGGGGAAUCAGGACUGUUACUUUGAAAAAUUGAGUGUUUAAAGCAGGCUCGCGCUUGAAUACAUUAGCAUGGAAUAAUGAAAUAGGACGUUUGACCCUAUUUUGUUGGUUUCUAGGAUCGACGUAAUGAUUAAUAGGGAUAGUUGGGGGCAUUAGUAUCCAAUUGUCAGAGGUGAAAUUCUUGGAUUUAUUGAAGACUAACUACUGCGAAAGCAUUUGCCAAGGAUGUUUUCAUUAAUCAAGAACGAAAG
rnacentral:rRNA from 1 species